ACCUGAUUGAUUCUGUCAGCGCGAUAUGCUCAAGUAAAAGAUUAAGCCAUGCAUGCUUUGAUUCAUCAAUGAAAUUGCGUACGGCUCAUUAGAGCAGAUAUCACCUUGUUCGGAAUAUUAUAUGGAUAACUGCGGAAAUACUGGAGCUAAUACAUGUCAUACAUCCCCAACGUAAGGCGGGGUGCAAUUAUUAGAACAGACCAAACGUUUUCGGACGUUGUUUGUUGACUCUGAAUAAAGCAGUUUACUGUCAGUUUCGACUGACUCUAUCCGAAAAGGGUGUCUGCCCUUUCAACUAGAUGGUAGUUUAUUGGACUACCAUGGUUGUUACGGGUAACGGAGAAUAAGGGUUCGACUCCGGAGAGGGAGCCUUAGAAACGGCUACCACGUCCAAGGAAGGCAGCAGGUUUACCUUGAAUAAAUCAGAGUGCUCAAAACAAGUGUUUGCUUGAAUAGCUCAUCAUGGAAUAAUGAAACAGGACUUCGGUUCUUUUUGUUGGUUCUAGAACUGAUUUAAUGGUUAAGAGGGACAAACCGGGGGCAUUCGUAUCAUUACGCGAGAGGUGAAAUUCGUGGACCGUAGUGAGACGCCCAACAGCGAAAGCAUUUGCCAAGAAUGUCUUCAUUAAUCAAGAACGAAAGUCAGAGGUUCGAAGGCGAUUAGAUACCGCCCUAGUUCUGACCGUAAACGAUGCCAUCUCGCGAUUCGGAGGGUUUUUGCCCUGCCGAGGAGCUAUCCGGAAACGAAAGUCUUUCGGUUCCGGGGGUAGUAUGGUUGCAAAGCUGAAACUUAAAGAAAUUGACGGAAGGGCACCACAAGGCGUGGAGCUUGCGGCUUAAUUUGACUCAACACGGGAAAACUCACCCGGUCCGGACACCAUUAGGACUGACAGAUUGAAAGCUCUUUCUCGAUUUGGUGGUUGGUGGUGCAUGGCCGUUCUUAGUUGGUGGAGUGAUUUGUCUGGUUUAUUCCGAUAACGAGCGAGACUCUAGCCUGCUAAAUAGUUGGCGAAUCUUCGGGUUCGUAUAACUUCUUAGAGGGAUAAGCGGUGUUUAGCCGCACGAGAUUGAGCGAUAACAGGUCUGUGAUGCCCUUAGAUGUCCGGGGC
rnacentral:rRNA from 1 species